CAAAGAGUGCUUGAAAUUGUCGGGAGG
rnacentral:ncRNA from 2 species